GCCGGAGAGGCGGCGGGGAAAGAGGACGAGGUGGAAGAAGCUGCGCGCGGAGCGGCGGUGGCAGCGGCCCCUUCCCGGGGUGCGGCGGGGACGGAGCCCGCGGGUGUCCGACCGCGGUGUCCCCCGUGUCCCCACGUGCAGGCUCCUCCGUGUUGCUCUCUGAAAGCAUUUCAAACUCGACACACAGAAGCUGUUUCUCAGUGAGCAGCUGUGGGGCAUUUGGCUGAUGGUUUUGACAGCAGAGAUGAAUUGAGGACGUGGCAUCUGCAGUCCUGACCUGGAAUUUGAACCCUUUAGUGCCUCUCCCUCCUCCCAGACGGAGAGGAGGCGGAAGAUCUCGGAAUCUUCUGAUUGCCAUCGAUCUGAUUUUGCUGAGCACUAGCCUUGUAUCACGUCUGUGUGUUCCUUGAGAGAUGAUUUCAAUCUGAAAAAAAACCCUACAGUGAUGGAGCAUCCUUGGAUGGAUCUGCAUGUGUCCCUGUGGAUGUGUGCCCCAGGCCCUGCUGCCUGUGCUGGGGUGAGGCUUUGUGGGCACAGGUAAGGGGUAGAAAAGUGGCUUUGCCAAGGAAGCCAAGCCAAGAGGAGCAGUGAGCCACCUCUGCACUGCAGCUUCAGGGGUGCUGCUGCACCCAGCACUCACCUGCCCCCUGCUUCUCCAGGGGUCCACGCUUGGAACAGCUGCUGUAAGGGAAUCAGGGCAUCAGGAAGGGAAUCCUGUGCACACAGGGGAAUGUCCUUUUUGUGCAGGAUCAUAAACAAAACCCUGAAAGAGUAGUGAUGGAUCCAGCAGCCCUGGGGAGGCCCCACACUGCUGGAACCACCAGCUUCAUGGAACAUUUUCCUGGAGUCCAAUAGUGGUUUUCUAGACUUAAAUACUGAUCACAUUCACUUUUCUCCCUCCCUCCCAAAGGCAUUUUUUGUCAUCUGUGUCCAAAACUUCCAGGAGAAACUCCAUGAUUGGAGCAAUUUGGUCCAAUCCCAUGAGAAGGGACUGCUCCACACACUUUAGGAAGAGCAAAAAGGAGAAAGAAAAGAAGGUAAAGCCCUCUGUUCUGUGCCUGAUCACUCAUCAAAGCCAGCUGCCUCCUGUGCUGGCUUGAGGACGUGACAGAUGUCUGUAGCCUUUGCAGGUGCAGGGCCUGCAUUUCAUCAGUCUUUUUUCCAUGGAUGACCUGGAGUGUGGAUUAUUAGCAGCUCAAAUUUCUUUGGCCAAGGUGCUUCGUUGUGUACACAUCCGGGUUAAAGCUAAGCAAUAUUUCUGAUCCAUGUAGGCUUCUGACUUGGUCCUGCAUCUUUGGUGUUUACAAAAUGAUCAGAGCUUGAACUCUCCCUGUUCUGUUUCUUAAAUGUCAGCAGACACUUUUUUUUUUUUUUUUUAAUAAAACAAUGCAGCCUUCCCCUGCAAUGUUUGUAACCAAGAAACUGUGGCAUCACAAGAGCAUGAGGAAAUACUGGCUGAUUAAAACCAGUGUAAGAAAUGACAGCGAAAGUGUUUGUCUGGGGUUUUUUUCCUCAUUUCAGAAUUCACAAUGAAGUGGCUGGUAAAAUGGGACCAGCUGGUUCAGCCCCACUUGGGCUGAAUACGAUGUUUAAUGUGCUGAAACUACUUCCACUGGCAAACCUUAGUGUGAUCAUUUAAUUUCUCAUGUAAAGCACAUCUCACAGCAUGGCUUUUUCCCUACCUGCCUCUAUUUUGACAAAGUAAAGUUUGGACUAUUGUUGGCUUUCUUGGCCUUGUUUUUUGUCUUUUUCCUGCCUCUCAUUAAUAUACAAGUGGUAUUAAAUAGUAAUGAUGCCAG